UUGCUACAGAUAGGCCUGAGUGGCUUGGAAUAUUAAUGUCAGUGAGAAUACUGAUUAGUCAGACUGAAUGAAAACUCAAGACACCUAAA